CCUGUUUUGUAGUUUGAUAAGUACCUGUGAUUAAUUAAAUGUUACUGCCCUAGUAAUGCUGUUUUCCUUUCAGAAAACCAUUGCACCCAUGUGAAUAUGGAAGAAGAAAGACCCCUGAGCUUGGGCUAAUGGAGAAAAUUAGUCCUACAGGAGCCUCUAAAACCUUAUAACCACUUGUUCAUCCCACAGUCUGGACAUGAAGUCUGGAGAAAUGAAGUAUAAAGGUGGGCUUGAUGAGGACAGAGAAGCUUGUGGUCCGAUAAACAGAGGGGACUGUCCCAGAAAUGGCUUUAUGGAAUAUCUGAUACAACAAAGCUAACUUCACAUAAGAUUCCUUUCCCUCAAUCAAGGUAUAGAAGAGCCACCAAGACCUUCACCGGGAGCAAAACUCCCUCUACAGCCAUGAGUGUGCACAUGCGACUCAUGGACCAAAGCCUUAGCACUUGGAAAUGACUCCAGGGAAAGGCACAAACAGGAUCUUGAAUUGACUGAGACUGUGUUGACAAUAGCAAAAUAAUAGGGAAUCAAAAUAGAAAUUUUGUGGAGUUACAGAAAAAUAAAG
rnacentral:lncRNA from 1 species